rnacentral:rRNA from 1 species
UACGUAGGGGGCGAGCGUUGUCCGAAGUUACUGGGCGUAAAGCGCGCGUAGGCGGUCAUUUAAGUUCGGGGUGAAAGGUUCAGCGCUCAACGCGAACAGUGCCUUGAAUACUGGGUGACUUGAGUUCGGGAGAGGGCAGUGGAAUUCCAGGUGUAGCGGUGAAAUGCGUAGAUAUCUGGAGGAACACCGGUGGCGAAGGCGGCAUCCUGGACCGAUACUGACGCUGAGGAGCGAAAGCCAGGGGAGCAAACGGG